rnacentral:rRNA from 1 species
GAUGAACGCUGGCGGCGUGCCUAAUACAUGCAAGUCGAGCGAACGGACGAGAAGCUUGCUUCUCUGAUGUUAGCGGCGGACGGGUGAGUAACACGUGGAUAACCUACCUAUAAGACUGGGAUAACUUCGGGAAACCGGAGCUAAUACCGGAUAAUAUUUUGAACCGCAUGGUUCAAAAGUGAAAGACGGUCUUGCUGUCACUUAUAGAUGGAUCCGCGCUGCAUUAGCUAGUUGGUAAGGUAACGGCUUACCAAGGCAACGAUGCAUAGCCGACCUGAGAGGGUGAUCGGCCACACUGGAACUGAGACACGGUCCAGACUCCUACGGGGGGCAGCAGUAGGGAAUCUUCCGCAAAGGGCGAAAGCCUGACGGAGCAACGCCGCGUGAGUGAUGAAGGUCUUCGGAUCGUAAAACUCUGUUAUUAGGGAAGAACAUAUGUGUAAGUAACUGUGCACAUCUUGACGGUACCUAAUCAGAAAGCCACGGCUAACUACGUG